AAUGGUGUUCCCUCUGUCUCACGCUCACUGAACGCUACCGAUGUGAAGAGAUUCAAGCAACUCGAUUCUCAAGCGAAGAAUAUCAUAUGUGGCCAUCUGAGCAAAGGACAGUAUGGAAGAGUGAGUGCUUUGGAAACUGCUAAGCUUAUUUGGGAUAGGCUGUCCAAAGUGAAUGAAGGAGUCUCAACUCAGCGUGACUCUCGAGUUGAUGUUCUUUGCAAUCUCUUCAACCGCUUCAAAAGACUCGACAAUGAAAAUGUUCAACAAACCUUCGAUCGCCUCACUGACAUCUCAAGUGAGCUUCAAGCGCUUGGUGCCACUGACAUCACCGACCAUGAGGUGGUGAAGAAAUUGUUGAGGUCGCUUGAUUCCUCAUUUGAUACUCUG
rnacentral:rRNA from 1 species